rnacentral:sRNA from 1 species
UCAACCAGUCUUCGGGCCAUAUGCCGGUC